rnacentral:lncRNA from 1 species
UAAUGUAUCUGGGUUGGCCUGGUGUCUCUCUACAGACUACAGAGUUAUAUAAUGUAUCUGGGUUGGUCUGGUGUCUCUAUAGACUACAGAGUUAUAUAAUGUAUCUGGGUUGGCCUGGUGUCUCUAUAGACUACAGAGUUAUAUAAUGUAUCUGGGUUGGUCUGGUGUCUCUAUAGACUACAGAGUUAUAUAAUGUAUCUGGGUUGGCCUGGUGUCUCUAUAGACUACAGAGUUAUAUAAUGUAUCUGGGUUGGCCUGGUGUCUCUACAGACUACAGAGUUAUAUAAUGUAUCUGGGUUGGCCUGGUGUCUCUACAGACUACAGAGUUAUAUAAUGUAUCUGGGUUGGCCUGGUGUCUCUAUAGACUACAGAGUUAUAUAAUGUAUCUGGGUUGGCCUGGUGUCUCUACAGACUACAGAGUUAUAUAAUGUAUCUGGGUUGGCCUGGUGUCUCUAUAGACUACAGAGUUAUAUAAUGUAUCUGGGUUGGUCUGGUGUCUAUAGACUACAGAGUUAUAUAAUGUAUCUGGGUUGGCCUGGUCUCUCUACAGACUACAGAGUUAUAUAAUGUAUCUGGGUUGGCCUGGUGUCUCUAUAGACUACAGAGUUAUAUAAUGUAUCUGGGUUGGCAUGGUGUCUCUACAGACUACAGAGUUAUAUAAUGUAUCUGGGUUGGCCUGGUGUCUCUACAGACUACAGAGUUAUAUAAUGUAUCUGGGUUGGCCUGGUGUCUCUAUAGACUACAGAGUUACAGCCAAGGUUGUCCUCCAUCGUCUUUCAUACUCACAUUCUACAUAACAAACAAUCUCAACAACGACCAUCGCUGGCUUCAUACUUCUGGCAAAUUGUUGUUACGUGCUAAAAAAAAAUUUGUCCCAAAUGGCCCCUUAUUCCCUACAUAGAUGGCCCCUUAUUCCCUUCAUAGAUGGGCCCCUUAUUCCCUACAUAGAUGGGCCCUUAUUCCCUACAUAGAUGGCCCCUUAUUCCCUACAUAGAUGGGCCCCUUAUUCCCUACAUAGAUGGCCCCUUAUUCCUUACAUAGAUGGCCCUUAUUCCCUACAUAGAUGGCCCCUUAUUCCCUACAUAGAUGGCCCCCUUAUUCCCUACAUAGAUGGGCCCCUUAUUCCCUACAUAGAUGGCCCCUUAUUCCCUACAUAGAUGGCCCCUUAUUCCCUACAUAGAUGGCCCCUUAUUCCCUACAUAGAUGGCCCCUUAUUCCCUACAUAGAUGGCCCCUUGUUCCCUACAUAGAUGGCCCCUUAUUCCCUACAUAGAUGGCCCCUUAUUCCCUACAUAGAUGUCCCCUUAUUCCCUACAUAGAUGGCCCCUUAUUCCCUACAUAGAUGGCCCCAUGUUCCCUACAAAGAUGGCCCCUUAUUCCCUACAAAGUUCACUAUUUAUUUGCCUUAUAUGCGUGGCUA